rnacentral:rRNA from 1 species
AGUAGCGGUGAAAUGCGUAGAUAUCUGGAGGAAUACCAAAGGCGAAGGCAGUCCCCUGGUCCGAUACUGACACUGAGGUACGAAAGCGUGGGGAGCAAACAGGAUUAGAUACCCUGGUAGUCCACGCCCUAAACGAUGUCGAUUAGCCAUUGGAAGGACCCCUUUUCCUUUCAGUGACGUAGCUAACGCGUUAAAUCGACCGCCUGGGAAGUACGACCGCAAGGUUAAAACUCAAAGGAAUUGACGGGGACCUGAACAAGCGGUGAAUGAUGUGGAUUAAUUCGAUGCUACGCGAAGAACCUUACCUACCUUUGACAUGGCCAAAGUUCUACCGAGAGGCGGAAGUACUCGUAAGAGGAUUGGCGCACAGGUGCUGCAUGGUUGUCGUCAGUUCGUGUCGUGAGAUGUUGGGUUCAGUCCCGCAACGAACGCAACCCUUAUCUUUAAUUGCUCCUAUUUUAACAGGCACUUUAAAGAAACUGCCAAUGAUAAGUUGGAGGAAGGUGGGGAUCACGUCAAGUCCGCAUGGCCUUUAUAGGUAGGGCUUCACACGUCAUACAAUGGUUAGAACAAAGAGCUGCAAAUUCGUAAGAAGGAGCCAAUCUCACAAACCUAACCUCAGUUCGAAUUGCGGUCUGCAACUCGAGCGCAUGAAGCCGGAAUCGCUAGUAAUCGUGGAUCAGAAUGCCC